CCCAACUCCUACCACUACCCCAACCCCAACUCCUACCACAUUAUGUUUUUGCACAUAUAAAAAACAAUAUUUCCCUGCUGGUUCCUUGAUAUACAAUGAGACGGACGGGGCAGGCUGGUGUUUCACCUCUUACUGUAACUCAAGUUGUAUUGUUGAGAAACAAGCCAGACCAUGUCCAUCUCCGACCCCAAAUACAGUCAGCACUGUCUCAACUACAGUCAGCACUGUCUCAACUACAGUCAGCACUGUCUCAACUACAACAGAAGCUACACGUUCUACAACAUCUAGAUUGUCCCCGACUACACCUUCCAGAGGCUGUGAAUAUGUCAAUCCACCAAGAAAGGAUGGUGAAACUUGGAAUAC